rnacentral:rRNA from 1 species
AUACGUAGGGGGCGAGCGUUGUCCGGAAUUAUUGGGCGUAAAGGGCGUGUAGGCGGCUGAGCAAGUCAGCUGUGAAAUACCUCGGCUCAACCGGGGUUCUGCAGUUGAAACUGUUUAGCUUGAGUGCAGGAGAGGAGGGUGGAAUUCCUGGUGUAGCGGUGAAAUGCGUAGAUAUCAGGAGGAACACCGGUGGCGAAGGCGACCUUCUGGCCUGUUACUGACGCUGAGGCGCGAAAGCUAGGGGAGCGAACAGGAUUAGAUACCCUGGUAGUCCUAGCCGUAAACGCUGGGUACUAGGUGUAGGCGGUUUAGAUACUGUCUGUGCCGCAGUUAACGCAUUAAGUACCCCGCCUGGGGAGUACGGUCGCAAGGUUGAA